rnacentral:lncRNA from 1 species
GAAAAGGUAACCUGACACUGGCCCUGCAAAGCCAGGAUAGUGGCUAAGCCCUGGCCUUGUUCUUCCAGCAUUCAUCCCUCAGGGGCACAUCAAAUGGUGCCAGGAAAGACCAGGGCUGCCACUGAGCAGGCUGAGAGGAGACUGGCAGGCAGCAGCAGCAGUGACCUCUUUGUCCUCUGCCUCUGGGGGCCUCAAUGCUCUGCAGAGGCUGUGACAACAGGCAGAAGUGCUUUCCCAUCACCUUUGUCCAUCUUAAAAGAACUCUGGUUGGCCAGUACAGGGAGAAGGGAGAGCAGAAAAGGGUGAUAAAAGAGCCUGCUGCAAGCCGUUCUGUUGAAGACAAUGAAGAAGUGCUGGAAAAGAACUUAGGAGAAGGAACGUUUCUGCAGAGUGAAUACAGGGAUGUAAUCAGCAGGCUUGCCUCUCCACUCUCUUCAGCAUAGAAGAGGGUGAGUCCCAGAAUGAUUUCAUGUUUGCAUCUUAUCAAGGAGGGAAGGAACCAGAAUUAAGGUUCUUUUCCUUAACCAUAGGCUAUUCUGGCUUGGGCACCAUUUCCCUUUUUGGUGACAAAGAGGGGUAGGUGCUCCAAAUGUUUGGGAACUGUCACUACCAACAAGUCUGACCAUCCCCCAAAGUUCUCUUUCUUUUAUGGCUUGCAACCAUCUAUUAUUUUUCUUUUCUUUUCUUUUCUUUUUUCUUUUGAGACAGUCUUACUCUGUUGCCCAGGCUGGAGUGCAAUUGCGUGAUCUCGGUUCACUGCAAAUUCUGCCUCCUGGGUUCAAGAAAUUCUUGUGCCUCAGCCUCCCAAGUAGCUGGGAUUACAGGUGCCUGCCACCAUACCUGGUUAAUUUUUGUAUUUUUAGUAGAGAUGAUGUUUCACUAUGUUGCUCAGGCUGGUCUCGAACUCUUGACCUCAGGUGAUCUUUCCGCCUCGGCCUCUGAAAGUACUGGGGUAUAGGUGUGAGCCACCAUGCCGGGCCUAAUCAUCUAUUCUUUACUUCCACUUCAUAGUGCGUAUGUUGAACAGAGACUGGUACAGCUGUUAACAUGCCAACAGACCACUUCAUUCAAUUCACUGGCUUGUUGGUGAUUCACUUUGUAGACCUGAACUGACCAAUAUGGUAGCCCCUUGAAAUGUGGCUUCUCUGAAUUGAGAUGUACUAUAAGUUUAAAAUGUACACUGUGUUUCAAAGCCUUAAUAUGUAAAAAGAAUGUAAAAUAUUUCAUUAAUAAUUUUUAUAUUGAUUAUACAUUGAAAGAUAAUACUUUGGAUAUAGUGUAUUAAAUUAAAUACAUUAUUAAAAUUGGC